rnacentral:rRNA from 1 species
CACGGGGGGAGCAAGCGUUGUUCGGAAUCACUGGGCGUAAAGGGCGUGUAGGCGGUCAAGUAAGUGGGAUGUGAAAUCCCCCGGCUUACCCGGGGACCGGCAUCCCAUACUGCUUGGCUUGAGUACGGGAGAGGAUGUGGGAAUUCCUGGUGUAGCGGUGAAAUGCGUAGAUAUCAGGAGGAACACCGGUGGCGAAGGCGCACAUCUGGCCCGAUACUGACGCUAAAGCGCGAAAGCUAGGGGAGCAAACGGGG